rnacentral:rRNA from 1 species
AUUGAACGCUGGCGGCAGGCUUAACACAUGCAAGUCGAGCGGAGAGAGGUAGCUUGCUACUGAUCUUAGCGGCGGACGGGUGAGUAAUGCUUAGGAAUCUGCCUAUUAGUGGGGGACAACAUUUCGAAAGGAAUGCUAAUACCGCAUACGUCCUACGGGAGAAAGCAGGGGAUCUUCGGACCUUGCGCUAAUAGAUGAGCCUAAGUCGGAUUAGCUAGUUGGUGGGGUAAAGGCCUACCAAGGCGACGAUCUGUAGCGGGUCUGAGAGGAUGAUCCGCCACACUGGGAUGGAGACACGGCCCAGCCUCCUACGGGAGGCAGCAGUGGGGAAUAUUGGACAAUGGGCGCAAGCCUGAUCCAGCCAUGCCGCGUGUGUGAAGAAGGCCUUAUGGUUGUAAAGCACUUUAAGCGAGGAGGAGGCUACUUUAGUUAAUACCUAGAGAUAGUGGACGUUACUCGCAGAAUAAGCACCGGCUAACUCUGUGCCAGCAGCCGCCGUAA